rnacentral:rRNA from 1 species
GACGAACGCUGGCGGCGUGCUUAACACAUGCAAGUCGAACGGAAAGGCCCUGCUUUUGUGGGGUGCUCGAGUGGCGAACGGGUGAGUAACACGUGAGUAACCUGCCCUUGUCUUUGGGAUAACUUCAGGAAACUGGGGCUACUACCGGAUAGGAGCUCCUGCUGCAUGGUGGGGGUUGGAAAGUUUCGGCGGUUGGGGAUGGACUCGCGGCUUAUCAGCUUGUUGGUGGGGUAGUGGCUUACCAAGGCUUUGACGGGUAGCCGGCCUGAGAGGGUGACCGGCCACAAUGGGACUGAGAUACGGCCCAGACUCCUACGGGAGGCAGCAGUGGAGAAUAUUACACAAUGGGCGGAAGCCUGAGGCAGCAACGCCGCGUGCGGGAUGACGGCCUUCGGGUUAUAAACCGCUUUCGCCUGUGACGAAGCGUGAGUGACGGUAAUGGGUAAAGAAGCACCGGCUAACUACGUG